rnacentral:lncRNA from 1 species
AUUAUAUAUAAAAAGAUUUAUUUAUAUGUAAAGUUUUAAUCAUUAGAUCAAAAUUUAAUUAAUGGGUAAGAUUUUAUAAAUUUAGUUUUUUAUAUAUAUCCAAUUUAAUCCAUUUAACUUAUUGUUCGUUGGCUAGCUCGCGAGCCAGAAUAAACGAGUCGAACACGAGCUGAAUUUUUCAGCUCGAUUCUUUGACGAGCCAGCUCGUGUUCGGCUCGUUUACCGACCCCAGCUCGCUCGUGUUUGGCUCGUUGACACCCCUAUCAGUGUCCCUCUUUGCCAUCUAAAAUACUCGAUAUCUCGUAAAAUC